UGCCGAGAAUCAGUAAUAAACAAAAUCUUUUGAACUUAUUGGAAGUAGCAGCGUUAAAUGAUUUAAUGAUUAUUGAAUUCUUUUGUGAGGACAAUGAAGAGAGGAAAAGUAAAGAAGAUGAAAUAAUGGAGGACCUGAUGCAUGUAUUGGCUUUAGAAUACAGAUACAGCGUACAAUUUAUUCAAAAUAGUGUAUCGAAAUCCAGGGCAUAUUUAAAUGAAUUCUGAUGGGAACUUGAUGAAACCCGAUUCAAGAAGAUCACACGUGUCACUUGGAAAACUUUCGAUGCUAUUUUGGAUCUAAUAAAGGGAGACAAUAUUUUCAACAAAAUUCGGUCGGGCAAACAAAUUGCAAUUGUGUUGUAUCGCUUAGGCUCUAGCGAUGAAGGAGCUACUCUUUCGAAGAUUGCAGGUUUAUUUGGAAUCAGUGAUGGUGGUGUCAUUCAGAAUUUAACUGAACGAAUAUUUAAUGCGUUGUUGAAAUACAAGGACCAGUAUUUAUUUUGGCCAAAUACGGAAGAACACAAAAAGCUCGUUUUAGAAACUUAGAGUGAGUUACCUAACUGCAUAGGAUACGUUGAUGGUACCGAAAUUCCAUUGGCGGAAAAACCGUCACAGGACCCAGAAGCGUAUUUUUCAUUAAAACAUAUUUACUCCGUUAAGGCACAAGCCGUGUGCGCUCAUAGAUUACAAAUAAGGCACUUGAUGUUAGGCUUUUCAGGUAGCGUUCAUGAUGCACGUAUUUUUAAUAACAGCGAAUUGUCCAUUGAAGCACAUACAUUUUUUGGAGAAGGUGAAUGGAUUGCAGGUGACAGUGCAUAUAAAUUAUCGAGUACUGUUAUAACGCCAUUUAGAGAAUAUUCUAGAAAUUUAACACUAAGCCAAAGGAAUUCUUUUAACAAAACAUUCAGUCGAUAUAGAAUUCGAAUUGAACAUUGUUUUGGAAUGCUGAAGGAAAGAUUUGGUAGUUUAAAAGGUUUAAGGCUUCAAAUAAAAAAUGAAAAUGGUAUGAGAAAAGUUAACAAAUGGAUUCUCUGUUGUGUAUUGUUACACAACUUUAUACUCCAACAAGACGAUUAUUUCGAUUACCAACCUGAGAAAUCGGAGCACAGUAUUGAAGAGUCGUUAUGGGAACCAAAUGCUCGUACCAAUGAAGUGGAGAUAAGGCGACGACAAA